rnacentral:rRNA from 1 species
UACACUCCUGCGGGAGGCAGCAGUGGGGAAUUUUGGACAAUGGGCGAAAGCCUGAUCCAGCCAUGCCGCGUGCAGGAUGAAGGCCUUCGGGUUGUAAACUGCUUUUGUACGGAACGAAACGGCCUUUUCUAAUAAAGAGGGCUAAUGACGGUACCGUAAGAAUAAGCACCGGCUAACUACGUGCCAGCAGCCGCGGUAAUACGUAGGGUGCAAGCGUUAAUCGGAAUUACUGGGCGUAAAGCGUGCGCAGGCGGUUAUGUAAGACAGUUGUGAAAUCCCCGGGCUCAACCUGGGAACUGCAUCUGUGACUGCAUAGCUAGAGUACGGUAGAGGGGGAUGGAAUUCCGCGUGUAGCAGUGAAAUGCGUAGAUAUGCGGAGGAACACCGAUGGCGAAGGCAAUCCCCUGGACCUGUACUGACGCUCAUGCACGAAAGCGUGGGGAGCAAACAGGAUUAGAUACCCCAGUAGUCCCAUGAU